rnacentral:rRNA from 1 species
UGGGAAACUGAGGUUAAUACUCCAUAUGCUAUUGCACCUGGAAGGAGCAAUAACAGAAAGGAGCGCGAAUUGCAGCGCCACCGCUUUACGAUGAGGCCGCGGCGGAUCAGGCAGAUGGCGGGGUAACGGCCCACCAUACCAAUAACCCGUAGGGGAUGUGAGAGCAUGAGCCCCGAGAAGGGCACUGAGACAAGGGCCCUAGCGCUACGGCGUGCAGCAGGCGCGCAAACUCCACAAUGCGCGGAAGCGUGAUGGGGGGAACCUGAGUGGUCGACAUAAGUCGACCUUUUGCCAAGUACAGCAAGCUUGGCGAAUAAGUGCUGGGCAAGACCGGUGGCAGCCGCCACGGUAAUACCGGCAGCACAAGUGGUAUCCACGAUUAUUGGGCUUAAAGCGCCCGUAGCUGGCCGAUGCCGUCUCGCGUGAAAUAUUGGCGCCCAACGUCAAUGCGUGCGCGGGAUACCCAUCGGCUAGGGAGUGGGUUGGGUCAGGAGUACUUAUUGGGGAGGGGCUAAAUCCUAUAAUCCUAUAAGGACUAACAGUGGCGAAGGCGCCUGACCAGAACACAUCCGACAGUGAGGGACGAAGGCUAGGAGAACGAAUCGGAUCAGAUA